rnacentral:tRNA from 1 species
GGCUCCGAAACUCAGUCGUUAGAGCGUCAUGCUAAUACCGCGAAAGUCGAGGGUUCGAUCUCCUCCGGAGCCA